rnacentral:rRNA from 1 species
AGCGAACGCUGGCGGCAUGCCUAACACAUGCAAGUCGAACGAACUCUUCGGAGUUAGUGGCGGACGGGUGAGUAACACGUCGGAACGUGCCUUUAUGUUCGGAAUAACUCAGGGAACCUUGUGCUAAUACCGAAUGUGACCUUCGGGGGAAAGAUUUAUCGCAGUUAGAGCGGCCCGAGACUGAUUAGCUAGUUGGGGAGGUAAAGUCUCACCAAGGCGACGAUAGGUAGCUUGUCUGAGAGGAUGACCAGCCACAUCGAGACUGAGGCACGGCACAGACUCCUACGGGAGGGAGCAGUGGGGAAUCUUGCGGAAUGGGCGAAAGCCUGACGCAGCCAUGCCGCGUGAAUGAUGAAGGUCUUAGGAUUGUAAAAUUCUUUCACCGGGGACGAUAAUGACGGUACCCGGAGAAGAAGCCCCGGCUAACUUCGUGCCAGCCGCCGCCGUAACAC